rnacentral:lncRNA from 1 species
UAUUAUUAUUGAGAAAGUAAAAAAAAACAGAGAAAAAAAAAAUUUUCCAGAGAAAGGUUGAGUUAGGAAGAAGAAGAGAGUUUGAAAUUAGAAUUAGGGGAUUUGGAAAAAUAAAAGUAGAUUAAGAUUUGAAAUCAGAAUUGGAAAGAGAUAUAGAAUUAGGGUUGGGAAUUUGUGAAAGGGAAAGUAAAUCUACGUUUUGAAGGUGAGAGGAGAGAGGAGAGAGGAUAGAGGAGAGAGGAGAGUGUAGAGAGUAGAGAGGAGAGAAUAUAAUCAUGGUUAGUUGUUUCUGGUUAGGUUAGUUUGGUCUGAUCAAAAUUGGGGGUAUGAAAGACAUUAGACAGACAUAAUGUGUCUAGCCAGCAUGAAGUGUCUAAAAGUGUAAAACAUAAGACGAAAAGUGUCUUAUAGAGUAAAAAAGUCAAUAAAUUUCUAGGAUGUGGCUCGAGUGUUUCCAGUUUCACUUGUAGAUAUAUCACACGUGACUCUGUAGUGACAUUAC